GCAAGAAGGAAGUCGUCCCUUUUUCUCUUCUUCCUGCUCUGCUCUGAAGCUGCCAUGUGAUCCCGGCGAGAGAAGACGCCAGCAGCUAGCGUCCGAUAAGAUAAUUCUUUAUGGUUGAUACUUAAGACUGAGCUAGCAAGUAAGAAAUCCUACUCAGUUGGCCAAGCAGCAUUUGUACCUAAUGGCCUCCUGGGAUGGUGUCCUGCUGGGCACAGGGCUGUUUCCAGUUGGUGGUAAGAAAGGAUCUCAGAGCUUUAUCUGUGUUCCAACUGCUGUCCCUAUCUGCUACUGACCCAAGGAGAGCCAUCCAUUCACCCAGCAGUCCAGCCACCAGUGCCCUAUGCUGAUGGUAAGAGCAGGGAGCACUAGAAAUGAAUGCGAGCAGAAUGCAACUGGAGAUGGCUUUAAAUAAUGCAGGCCCUAAGGUCAGAGCGGUUGUGAAGUUUGAGAAAUUCUUUGACUCCUCUUGAAGCAUGUGUCUUCAGAAGUUUGGGCACACUUGCUCUGCCUUGGCAAUGAGCCAUUUUCUCUGUUGCACCCGGAGAGCUGAGGUCUACAUGCAAGGGAGAAGAAGCAUGGUCCUCAGGCAGUGGAUCUGCUAGUGCUCUGGGCAUCCAGAAUGUGGGAGCAGCUACAGAGAGCCCAUCAGAGGACCCUGGAAGGUUCAGGGACUUAUGCACAACCUCUGACCAAAUGCAAGCUAAACAAAAUUGCUCUGUCCCAGAGUAAACCUAGGGCAACUCAAGGAAGCCAGGUGCAAAGAGUCACUCUUGGUUGCCUGGGAACACCUUUUCAUGAAGGACAACCAGGAGCUGUUAAUCCUGGCAGAAGACAGGGAAUGACCACAAACUCACACACCACGUAGGCAGGAUCUAGGCUAUACUCAAGGGCCCUGUGUUAAAUAGAAAAUGGAAUUGGCUGAGAGUGUAUGCUAUUUGGAGCUGGCAGUAGUCCUGCAAUCCUAGCUACUCAGUGGGC
rnacentral:lncRNA from 1 species